rnacentral:rRNA from 1 species
UACGAAGGGGGCUAGCGUUGCUCGGAAUCACUGGGCGUAAAGGGUGCGUAGGCGGGUUUUUAAGUCGGGGGUGAAAUCCUGGAGCUCAACUCCAGAACUGCCUUCGAUACUGGGAGUCUUGAGUUCGGGAGAGGUGAGUGGAACUGCGAGUGUAGAGGUGAUAUUCGUAGAUAUUCGCAAGAACACCAGUGGCGAAGGCGGCUCACUGGCCCGAUACUGACGCUGAGGUGCGAAAGCGUGGGGAGCAAACAGG